CCUGGGGUCAGACGUCAGCCCCCCCAUGCUGCUGCUGCUGAAGUCAAACAGGAGCGCUGGGAGACGGACCACAUCUCCCACAAUCCACCUGGCUUCUGCCAGCCGCCCUCCCACGGCCGAGUGCUCGGCCCAGACAUGGUUUAUUAUGAGUCCUGUGACAUCCCAGUGCAUUGUGGUCCUCCUUCCCAGAGCGUGCCUCGUCUUCAUCACCCCCUUCCCUCCUCCUUAAUGUUUCCUCACACCUCCUCCCUCCCUCUUCACAUCUCCUCGGCCUCGUGUCAGACCUCCUCCGCCCCCCUGAUCCCUCUUCAGACCUGCAUCAUGCCUCUCCAGACCUUCCCCGCCCCCCCGCAGACCUCCUCCCUCCCUCCUCAAAUAUCCACGCUGCCUCCCCAGGCCUCUCCGGUGCCUCUUCAGACCUUCACCAUGCCUCCUCCCGCCUCCCCCGGUGGACCUCAGAGGAGACACUCUCCGUCUCUAAGCUCCAGCAGAGCCUUCGUGACCCCCGCUGACCCCCAGAAGAGCCCGGGAGAGGCGGCCAGCAUCAAGCAGGAGCCGGACGACCGGCCCCAUCUGGGAUCUUUGGGCCUCCAGGAGAUCACACUGGAUGACGUGAACGAGAUCAUCGACAGAGACAUCGGCAGUCUGAGCGGCGGCGUCCGGCCCGACCACUUUGAGCAGUACGACUGGGAGCACAAGCCGAGCGACGCUGCCUCGCCGUUCUGCGGAGGCCCUCCGUAGAACGCGGCGCCGCUUGUCGGACGGUCACGUUUGCACAAAGUGCACCGAACUCAUCUUCAAGUGCCUGGAAACCUCCGGCGAGCCCGCGGCUCGUCUCCUCGUCGGGGCGUCGCAUCAGAUCGGGAACCUCGCUGACCAACCAGAGAUGUUCCCGCUCUUCAUGACUGAACUGUAGACUAAAGGGCUGUGAGUCACAACAGGCUGAUCUUUAUUUAUUGGCCAGUUAAUUAUUAAAAAUCUAUUUUUGAUACUCUGGAUUUGAUCCGGUUAAAACAAACUUCAGUCCUUCAGCGGAUCGUUGACUUCCCAUCGCUCGGUUCUCACUGGGUGUACAUGAAUGCUGCUCAACAUGAACGCUGCUCAACAUGAACGCUGCUCAACAUGAACGCUGUGAAGCUCCAGACACUGAAUUACACAAAUGUAUCAAGUAAAGAAGUAAAAGAUGAAAGUAUUGGCUGCUGUGUUUUGUUGCUUCACUUAAUGAGCGAGAUGUUAAACACUUGGUUCUGGGUCGACGUGUCUUCACACGCAGUGAAGGAGUUCCAGCUCUGAGCGGCAGCUUGUCUUUACGGGAGGUCAAAGGUCACGGCGGGUAACAUCAGCUUCUAGUUAUUAAAGCAAUCGGCACUAAAUCCCAGAGGAGAAGAAAGCUGCUGCACGGCCUCAACAGCUGGUCGUGCAGCUGCAGCACAGCUGUGUAGAACUUCUUAUCAGCACCUGCAGUGAGAAGGAGUCGCACAUGAGGCUCUUUGUACGCAGACACAUGUACACUUACUGCACAGAUCCGACUCCUCCACCACGCUGAUGAAGAACGGACGGAGGACGGGAACUUCCUCCUGUGAGUCUCCAAGAUGUAGAUCCUGAAGCCGGCUGCUGACAGCCAUCUCACCGGCUGUGGGCCGAAAGCACAACAUGUUGGUCUGACAGAUAAAUAUGAGUUUAGAGAUGAAGACAUGUUGAGUCCACAGCGACAUCACUUUGAGAAGUUAUUAUGUUGAGGUGCUAUUACACCGUCAGAAUGACUCACACCAUCUGUUUCCAGAACAAGUUUGCAUCUUGUCUUUUAAUCUGAAGUGUGCUGCAUUCAUCUUGAAGCAGCUUUAAGAUGUUUUGGUUACUAUAUUUAUAUCGCUCAGCCUUACCCUCCUCUUGAACCUGCCUGUCCUUCUUCACGCCUCCUCCCCAUCCAUCACCCUCCUCCUCCUCCUCCACCCCCCAGUCAUCAGCGGUGUCACACCAGUCAGAGGCCGACAGAGGAGCCUCCUGAGCCGGGGCAGGCCGGCUGGAUGUCUCCGCCUCCUCCAGACACUGAGAGCGGAGCACCCUCCAACAGUCCGCCCUGCCGCUGCACUCAGCACCUGGGCACGCGAACAGGUUGAGGUUUCUGUGACAGGGUGAGGCCUCCAGGGGGCAGUACACCUGCACCACGUGAGCUAACGGGGCUCCGCAGUGCCUGCAGCGGGGAGACCGGCGGGAGAUGGCCGGCAUCCAGUCCGGCGGACCCCCGACUUUGUUUGUCAGAUAAGAGGACCGGUGCCGCUUCGAGUCCAGCUCUCCAUCACACAGACCGACCAGAGUUAACUCCUGGGCGCGUGAAGCCAUCGCUCACGUGUUGAAAACACGGACCGGAAGUGAACGUUAGAGUCUUGGGUCCGUCAUCAAAACAUUACCGCCAGCUGGGUGUCGGUUUAACUUAUACAAUACACUCACACUGUUGUAAAUAUGGUAACAGCAAGCGGCCAUUGUAUUACAGUCAUAUAUACACAUAACAAUGCGGUAAAGAUGUCACGCUUACUCGUUAAAUGUGUGAGAAAGUAAGGUUCCGACCGGAACACGACCGUUAGUUGAAGAGACGGAAUAAAACCAGCGCGGACCCGUUGAAGGGAUUAGAUUUCAACUUGAAGAGCACACUUUUGUAA
rnacentral:lncRNA from 1 species